rnacentral:rRNA from 1 species
CGGUUAAGUCGCUAACGAGCGCAACCCUCGUCGUAUGUUAUAUGUGUCAUACGAGACUAGCCGGUAAAAAGACCGGAGGAAGGUGAGGAUGAUGUCAAGUCAGCAUGACCUUUAUAUCCAGGGCUACACACACGCUACAAUGGUCUGUACAAUGGGUAGCCAAGCCGCGAGGCGGAGCCAAUCCUGAAAGCAGGCCUCAGUUCAGAUUGCAGUCUGCAACUCGACUGCAUGAAGCCGGAGUUGCUAGUAACCGCAGGUCAGCAAUACUGCGGUGAAUACGUUCCCGGGUCUU